rnacentral:rRNA from 1 species
GGAGGAAAGUAGGGGAUCGCAAGACCUUGCGCUUUUGGAGCGGCCGAUGUCUGAUUAGCUUGUUGGUAAGGUAAAAGCUUACCAAGGCUUCGAUCAGUAGCUGGUCUGAGAGGACGACCAGCCACACUGGGACUGAGACACGGCCCAGACUCCUACGGGAGGCAGCAGUGGGGAAUUUUGGACAAUGGGGGCAACCCUGAUCCAGCCAUGCCGCGUGAGUGAAGAAGGCCUUCGGGUUGUAAAGCUCUUUCAGCCGGAACGAAACGGUUACGGUUAAUACCCGUGACUACUGACGGUACCGGAAGAAGAAGCACCGGCUAACUACGUGCCAGCAGCCGCGGUAAUACGUAGGGUGCGAGCGUUAAUCGGAAUUACUGGGCGUAAAGCGUGCGCAGGUGGUUUUGUAAGUCAGAUGUGAAAUCCCCGGGCUCAACCUGGGAACUGCGUUUGAAACUACAAGGCUAG